UAACAAGGAGCAAGCUCAAGGAUUGUUUGUAAGGGGUAGAAGCAAUGUGCGACCAAAGGGCAAGGGAGAAAAAUCUAGAUCGAGUUCUAGACCUCUUGCGGAAAGGUCUUGUUUCAAAUGUGGCGAGCUUGGGCAUUUCAAGGCGAAUUGUCCAAACAAAAAGGGUUGGAAGAAGAACAAUAAGAACAACAACAGUGGGAAGGUGCAAGUCAAGCAAGAGGUAAGCUAUGCCUCGGAAGGAGGGGAAAGCGAUGAGUGCUACACCAUCUCUUGUGAUGAAGAGACCUCCGGUAAGU
rnacentral:lncRNA from 1 species